rnacentral:rRNA from 1 species
AAUUGGAGGGCAAGUCUGGUGCCAGCAGCCGCGGUAAUUCCAGCUCCAAUAGCGUAUAUUAAAGUUGUUGCAGUUAAAAAGCUCGUAGUUGAAUUUCGGGGUUAGUAGGUUGGUCAUGCCUCAGGUAUGUACUGGUCUCACUGAUUCCUCCUUCCUGAUGAACCGUAAUGCCAUUAAUUUGGUGUUGCGGGGAAUUUGGACUGUUACUUUGAAAAAAUUAGAGUGUUUAAAGCAGGCUAACGCUUGAAUACAUUAGCAUGGAAUAAUGAAAUAGGACGUUCGAUCCUAUUUUGUUGGUUUCUAGGAUUGACGUAAUGAUUAAUAGGGAUAGUUGGGGGCAUUAGUAUUCAAUUGUCAGAGGUGAAAUUCUUGGAUUUAUUGAAGACUAACUACUGCGAAAGCAUUUGCCAAGGAUGUUUUCAUUAAUCAAGAACGAAAGUUAGGGGAUCGAAGACGAUCAGAUACCGUCGUAGUCUUAACCAUAAACUAUGCCGACUAGGGAUCGGAUGAUGUUAAUUUUUUAAUGACUCAUUCGGCGCCUUACGGGAAACCAAAGUGU